rnacentral:ncRNA from 1 species
AGCAGGCAUGUGCGGGAUGAUUAACGCGGGUUAAUUAACGUAGGUCGCCCUCACGGGCGGCAGCCGCAAGUCGGCGGGCUCCUACGACCCGGGGCCUGCUUUUUG